UUUCUUCUUCUUCUUCUUUUUUUUUUUUUUCCUCUCUCCUACUAAAAAUGGGACUCGGGCCCAGUGAGGGACAACAAUAUCUUGACAGAGCGCUCUGAUGGUCGGAGACGGGGUCAUCGGCAUUGUCCCAGCUCCAUGUGCCGCAGAGAUUACACCCGCGAGAACAAAAGAAGUGCGCCACCGCAGCGGGCCCAGCGAUCCAGAGCAGGAAAAUGGACCCACCCUGGAAGCCUUUCUGGGGUAGAUUUUACAAGAUAGAAAGAAUGCAAAUUAUCCACAGCCUUGCUCAACUGGAUCAUACGCUUCAAUAGCCUCUAUCACUGCUGUAGCGUCUUGGGACAUAAAGACAGGACACCAGGACUGGGGUUGACUCAGACAUACCAACCGAGGCUCCCCAUAUCACGGUGGCGCCACAGCUGAGCACAUCCCGGCCCCCUUUUCCCGUGUUUGCUGAUGCUAUCACUCCUGAAAGCAAGUUAGGCGUGGCAAGCCGCUCCCAAAGAGCUGAUGGCAAAUUGGAGGUAUACUGUAAAUGAACCCCACUUUGCGGCAGAGAAAACGGGCCAUGGCAGAGGACACGACUUGCUCAAGAUGCCAUCGCGUAUGAAGGACGAAGGCGGGAUCCAGCCUAGGUCAUCUGACUUUUGAGUAUAUACUGUAAGUUCUCUGGAACCCAUGCCUGGACUUUAUUUAAAAAAUGUAAACAUCGGGGUGCCUGGGUGGCUCAGUCAGUUGCAUGUCUGCCUUCGGCUCAGGUCACGAUCCCAGGUCCCUGGGAUUGA